rnacentral:rRNA from 1 species
CGAACGCUGGCGGCAGGCCUAACACAUGCAAGUCGAACGAGAAGCUACCUUCGGGUAGUGGACAGUGGCGGACGGGUGAGUAACGCGUGGGAAUUUGCCUUGGAGUGGGGGACAACCGCUGGAAACGGCGGCUAAUACCGCAUACGCCCUACGGGGGAAAGAUUUAUCGCUCUAAGAGAAGCCCGCGUCUGAUUAGCUAGUUGGUGAGGUAACGGCUCACCAAGGCGACGAUCAGUAGCUGGUCUGAGAGGAUGAUCAGCCACACUGGGACUGAGACACGGCCCAG